rnacentral:rRNA from 1 species
UGCCAGCAUCCGCGGUACUACUGAUUGAGCUAGCGUUGUUCGGAAUUACUGGGCGUAAAGCGUGCGUAGGCGGAUCGACAAGUUGGGGGUGAAAGCCCGGGGCUCAACCCCGGAAGUGCAUUGGAAACUGGCGAACUUGAGUACGGGAGAGGAAAGUGGAAUUCCGAGUGUAGGGGUGAAAUCCGUAGAUAUUCGGAGGAACACCAGUGGCGAAGGCGGCUUUCUGGACCGAUACUGACGCUGAGACGCGAAAGCGUGGGGAGCAAACAGGAUUAGAUA